rnacentral:misc_RNA from 1 species
GAUGAAGAACGUAGCGAAAUGCGAUAAGUAAUGUGAAUUGCAGAAUUCAGUGAAUCAUCGAAUCUUUGAACGCACCUUGCGCCCUUUGGCUAUUCCAAAGGGCAUGCCUGUUUGAGUAUCAUGAACACCUCAACUCUCAUGGUCUGCCAUGAUGAGCUUGGACUUUGGAGGUCUGCUGGCCUGUGGUCAGCUCCUCUCAAAUGAAUCAGCUUUCCGGUGUUUGGUGGCAUCAUGGGUGUGAUAAAUAUCUACGCUUGUGGUUUUCCACCAGGUAACCUUCAGUGAUGGGGGUUCGCUGGGGCUCAUAAAUGUCUCUCCUCAGCGAAGACAGCUUUGUGAAUGUUUGAUCUCAAAUCAGGUAGGACUACCCGCUGAACUUAAGCAUAUCAAUAAGCGGAGGA